rnacentral:rRNA from 1 species
AUUGAACGCUGGCGGCAGGCCUAACACAUGCAAGUCGAGCGGAUGAAGGGAGCUUGCUCCUGGAUUCAGCGGCGGACGGGUGAGUAAUGCCUAGGAAUCUGCCUGGUAGUGGGGGAUAACGUCCGGAAACGGGCGCUAAUACCGCAUACGUCCUGAGGGAGAAAGUGGGGGAUCUUCGGACCUCACGCUAUCAGAUGAGCCUAGGUCGGAUUAGCUAGUUGGUGGGGUAAAGGCCUACCAAGGCGACGAUCCGUAACUGGUCUGAGAGGAUGAUCAGUCACACUGGAACUGAGACACGGUCCCGACUCCUACGGGAGGCAGCAGUGGGGAAUAUUGGACGAUGGGCGAAAGCCUGAUCCAGCCAUGCCGCGUGUGUGAAGAAGGUCUUCGGAUUGUAAAGCACUUUAAGUUGGGGGGAAGGGCAGUAAGUUAAUACCUUGCUGUUUUGACGUUACCAACAGAAUAAGCACCGGCUAACUUCGUG